rnacentral:rRNA from 1 species
AGAGAGAAGGAGCUUGCUUCUUCGAUCGAGUGGCGAACGGGUGAGUAACGCGUGAGUAACCUGCCUUACAGAGGGGGAUAACGUCUGGAAACGGACGCUAAUACCGCAUGACAUAUAGUUACCGCAUGGUAAAGAUAUCAAAGGAGCAAUCCGCUGUAAGAUGGACUCGCGUCCGAUUAGCUAGUUGGAGGGGUAACGGCCCACCAAGGCGACGAUCGGUAGCCGGACUGAGAGGUCGAACGGCCACAUUGGGACUGAGACACGGCCCAGACUCC